CCAGGAUGAUCUAGCUAGUAGUCAUAUGCUUGUCUCAAAGAUUAAGCCAUGCAUAUCUAAGUAUGAAUAAAAUUAGACUAGGAAACAACGAAUGGCUCAUUAAAUCAGUUUUAGUUUGUUUGAUGGUAUCUAGUACUCGAAUAACAAUAGUAAUUCUAGAGCUAAUACAUGAAAAAAACCACUAAUUCUUUAAGGGGUGCAUUUAGUAGAUAAAAAGUUAACGUGGGCUCUUCCCAUUGAUGCGAUGAUUUAGGAUAACUCAUCAGAUCAUAAAGUCAUCGUAUUGGCAAUGCAUCAUUCAAAUUUUUGCCGUAUCAACUUUCAAUGGUAAGAUAGUGGCCUACCAUAGUGGUGAUGGAUGAUGAAGAAUUAGGGUUUGAUUUAGGAGAGGGAGCCUAAGAAAAAACUACCACAUUUAAGAAAGACAGCAAAUGCACAAAUUACCCUAUCCAGACACGGGGAGGUAAUGACAAUAAAUAAAAAUAGCGGGAUCAAUGAGUCUAGUAAUUUGAAUGAGUACAAUAUAAAUACCUCAACUAGGAUCUAUUGGGGGUAAGUCUAGUGCCAGCAGCCGCAUUAAUUCCUGCUCCAAUAGCAUAUAUUUAAGUUGUUCUACUUUGGGAUGGGCCAAUCGGUCUAUCUAUUGUAUGCACCAGUUAUCUCGUACCUUCUUUUGAUGAUAUACUCCUGCCCUUAACUGGCCGGUUAGUGCCUCCGGUGCUGUUACAUUAAAGAAAUUAGAGUGCUCAAAGUAAGCCUAUGCUUUGUAUACAUUAGCAUGGGAUAAUAUUAUAGGAUUUAGGUCCUAUUACGUUGGAAUUCAAGAUUGGAGUAGUGAUUAAUAGGGACAGUCGAGGGCAUUCACAUUUCUUAGUUAGAUGUGAAAUUCUUAGAUUUAGGAAAAAUGAACAAUUGCGAAAGCAUUUUCCUAGGAUGUUUUAAUUAAUCAAGAACAAAAGUUGGGGGCUCGAAAGAUGAUUAAAUACCUUUCUAGUCUCAACCAUAAAUGAUGACGACCAAGGAUUGGUGGAUGUUGCUUUUAGGGUUCCAGGGGGAGUAUCUUCGCAAGCUGAAACUUAAAGGAAUUGACAGAAGGGCAACAUCAGGAGUGAAUUCUGUGACUUAAUUUGACUGAACAUAGGGUAACAUACCAAGUCUAGACAUCGUACAGAUUGACAGACUGAGAGCUCUUUCUUGAUUCUAUUGGUGGCGGUACAUGGCCAUUCUUAGCUGGUGGAGUUAUUUGUCUAGUUAUUUCUAUUAAUGAAUGAGACCUCAUCCUGCUAACUAGCUAUGCCGAGGUAUCCCUUCAUGGCUAGUUUCUUAGAGGGACUACAACCUUUUAGGCACCAUAAAUUUGAGGUAUUAACAGGUCUAUGAUGCCCUUAGAUGUUCUGGGCUGCACGCGCGCUACAGUGACGUAUUCAAUGAUCUUAUAGCCUCUAUCGAUAGGCCCAGGUAUCUUCUAAAUUUCAUUAUAAUUGGAAUUAAUUAUUGCAAUUGUUGGACUUCAACAAGGAAUUCCUAGUAAGCAUGAGUAAUCAGCUCGCGUUGACUACAUCCCUGUGCUUUGUACACACCGCCCAUCACUCUUACCAAUUGAAUGAUCUAGUGAAAUGUUUGGAUCAUGGCAACAUAAGAGGUUUGCUGCCUACGAUGCCGUGAGAAGUCCAUUGAACCUUAAAAUAUAGAGAAAGGAGAAGUUGUAACAAGGCUUACAUAGGUAAACCUGUGGAAGG
rnacentral:rRNA from 1 species